AGGAAUAUUGGGCAAUGCCCGCAAGGUUGACCCAGCAACGCCGCGUGGAGGAUGAAUGUCGUAAGAUUGUAAACUCCUGUUAGAGGGGAAGAAUAGUACCGGUUGUACCGGUAUAUGACUGUACCCUCAGAGAAAGCCCCGGCUAACUACGUGCCAGCAGCCGCGGUAAUACGUAGGGGGCAAGCGUUGUCCGGAUUUCCUGGGCGUAUAGGGCGCGCAGGCGGGAUAAAAAGUCAGUGGUGAAAUCCUACAGCUUAACUGUAGAACUGCCUUUGAUACUUUUAUUCUUGAGUUAGGGAGAGAGAGACGGAAUUCCAGGUGGAGGGGUGAAAUACGUAGAUAUCUGGAAGAACACCAGUUGCGAAGGCGGUCUCUUGGUCCGACACUGACGCUGAGGCGCGAAAGCGUGGGGAGCAAACA
rnacentral:rRNA from 1 species